rnacentral:rRNA from 1 species
GCCUUCUGGUUCGGAAUAACCCUGGGAAACUAGGGCUAAUACCGGAUACGCCCUUUUGGGGAAAGGUUUACUGCCGGAAGAUCGGCCCGCGUCUGAUUAGCUAGUUGGUGGGGUAACGGCCUACCAAGGCGACGAUCAGUAGCUGGUCUGAGAGGAUGAUCAGCCACACUGGGACUGAGACACGGCCCAGACUCCUACGGGAGGCAGCAGUGGGGAAUAUUGGACAAUGGGCGCAAGCCUGAUCCAGCCAUGCCGCGUGAGUGAUGAAGGCCUUAGGGUUGUAAAGCUCUUUUAUCCGGGACGAUAAUGACGGUACCGGAGGAAUAAGCCCCGGCUAACUUCGUGCCAGCAGCCGCGGUAAUACGAAGGGGGCUAGCGUUGCUCGGAAUCACUGGGCGUAAAGGGCGCGUAGGCGGCGUUUUAAGUCGGGGGUGAAAGCCUGUGGCUCAACCACAGAAUGGCCUUCGAUACUGGGACGCUUGAGUAUGGUAGAGGUUGGUGGAACUGCGAGUGUAGAGGUGAAAUUCGUAGAUAUUCGCAAGAACACCGGUGGCGAAGGCGGCCAACUGGACCAUUACUGACGCUGAGGCGCG